CCUACGGGAGGCAGCAGUGGGGAAUAUUGCGCAAUGGGCGAAAGCCUGACGCAGCGACGCCGCGUGAGGGAUGAAGGUCUUCGGAUCGUAAACCUCUUUCAGCAGGGAAGAACGGUCACUGUGCUAAUCAGCAGUGAAUUGACGGUACCUGCAAAGGAAGCACCGGCUAACUCCGUGCCGGCAGCGGCGGUAAUACGGAGGGUGCGAUCGUUAAUCGGAAUUACUGGGCGUAAAGCGCUCGUAGGCGGUAUGUCAAGUCAAGGGUGAAAUCCCCGCGCUCAACGGGGGAACUGCGUUUGAAACUGGCAGACUGGAGUGUGUGAGAGGAUAGUGGAAUUCAAGGUGUAGGAGUGAAAUCCGUAGAUAUCUGGAGGAACAUCAGUGGCGAAGGCGACUAUCUGGCACAUAACUGACGCUGAGGAGCGAAAGCGUGGGUAGCAAACAGGAUUAGAUACCCUUGUAGUC
rnacentral:rRNA from 1 species